CUGCAAUGAUGGCACUAUUACUGGUCAACAGCAGUUCACCUCCUGCUUGUUGAUCCUUUGGGUCUGAGUGA
ensembl:snoRNA